rnacentral:rRNA from 1 species
AGUGAACGCUGGCGGUAGGCCUAACACAUGCAAGUCGAACGGCAGCACAGGAGAGCUUGCUCUCUGGGUGGCGAGUAGCGGACGGGUGAGGAAUACAUCGGAAUCUACUCUGUCGUGGGGGAUAACGUAGGGAAACUUAGGCUAAUACCGCAUACGACCUACGGGUGAAAGCAGGGGACCUUCGGGCCUUGCGCGAUUGAAUGAGCCGAUGUCGGAUUAGCUAGUUGGCGGGGUAAAGGCCCACCAAGGCGACGAUCCGUAGCUGGUCUGAGAGGAUGAUCAGCCACACUGGAACUGAGACACGGUCCAGACUCCUACGGGAGGCAGCAGUGGGGAAUAUUGGACAAUGGGCGCAAGCCUGAUCCAGCCAUACCGCGUGGGUGAAGAAGGCCUUCGGGUUGUAAAGCCCUUUUGUUGGGAAAGAAAUCCAGCUGGCUAAUACCCGGUUGGGAUGACGGUACCCAAAGAAUAAGCACCGGCUAACUUCGUGCCAGCCGCCGCAGUAA